CCUACGGGAGGCAGCAGUGAGGAAUAUUGGUCAAUGGACGAGAGUCUGAACCAGCCAAGUAGCGUGAAGGAUGACUGCCCUAUGGGUUGUAAACUUCUUUUAUAUGGGAAUAAAAUGUUCCACGUGUGGGAUUUUGUAUGUACCAUAUGAAUAAGGAUCGGCUAACUCCGUGCCAGCAGCCGCGGUAAUACGGAGGAUCCGAGCGUUAUCCGGAUUUAUUGGGUUUAAAGGGCGCGUAGGUGGAUUGUUAAGUCAGUUGUGAAAGUUUGCGGCUCAACCGUAAAAUUGCAGUUGAAACUGGCAGUCUUGAGUACAGUAGAGGUGGGCGGAAUGCGUGGUGUAGCGGUGAAAUGCUUAGAUAUCACGAAGAACUCCGAUUGCGAAGGCAGUUCACUGGACUGCAACUGACACUGAGGCUCGAAAGUGUGGGUAUCAAACAGGAUUAGAUACCCUAGUAGUC
rnacentral:rRNA from 1 species